rnacentral:lncRNA from 1 species
GAUGGCUUUACAACAGUUUAUUCCACACACAUGCUUAACCGAGGACACACCUUUACACAUCUAUGAACUUUUCCCAAUGUUGAAGUGUCGAGUACCAUAUCCACUCCAUUUACAAGCACACAGAUAUGAUCCUCAUCAACAGUGAAGAGAGAUGUGUAGAAGGGUUGUACUACAUCUUUAUACACCAAAGGCAUGCUCCCCUCAAACUGGUGUUCCUACUAUUAAAAUUUGACAAUAUCGAGAAUUUUUCUCAUGCAUGCCAUCUCCAAAAUUGCUGGAUCAAAUGUUCGGCCCCACAACUCCAUUUGAGUUCUUAAUCUCUGCUGCCACAAAACACCAUCACAUAUCAUGGAACUUGUUGAACAAGGUUCCCUAACUGUUUCCCCUUUUUGUUUGCUAGACCUUUCGACACACUUUCCUUUUCAGCUUGUUGUUUCUACAGUAUUGCCCUCAUACACUGCUAGCUCAGUUUGACAUCGUUUGGACUUGAUGUUGUACUUCACAAAUUAAAGUUUCUAUUCCUCAACAAUUUCCUUAAUUUUAAUAGAUUAUUUUACUAAGGAACAAGGUUCCCUAGAAGCAUCUUUGUUUGUUCUGUUUACUGACACACUCUUGAUGAAAUCCUUUGGAUUCAUUUUCCUCUUUUUCCUUGUCUUGACACUCCUCUUACUUUUCUGCAAUGAGUAUUCAAAACUCUCUUGCUGUAGUGACCUGGUAGUGGGUGACUUGGAUGAAUACUCUACGAUCUUGGAGUUAAUAGGAGGUGCAGGAGUGAGUCUGCAUAGAAGUGAAUCAUGUUCAUCAGAAGGCUUUUCUAAGAACAUCUCAUAAGCCAAUAAUUCAAGAAGUGUUGUGGUUCUUACAUCUCCUAGGAAUGGAAUUUCUUCCCCCUGUUACUCAAAAGAGAAAUAUGUUCCUUUAUCC